UAUUUUGGUUUUACAAUUUCGCUACACCUUUAUUAUUAUUCUGUGUUGUCCUUGGAAUGAGGAAGAACCAGAAGAAUCGGUGAGAGUAAGAAAAUGGGUAGUAGUAGUGGUGAAGCGGUGUUGGAGAGGCACGCGGCGGUUAAGUGGGUUGUUGGUGGUGUCAUCGUCGGUGUUUCACUUUUGGGUCUUUAUUCUUCAUCUUAUAAUUUAUGGCCUUUUGGGAAUAGAAGAAGACGUAACAAGAGACCGAUUCGUGUUUACAUGGAUGGUUGUUUUGAUAUGAUGCAUUAUGGUCAUUGUAAUGCUUUGCGUCAAGCUCGUGCUCUUGGUGAUCAAUUAAUUGUUGGUGUUGUUAGUGAUGCUGAAAUUAUUGCUAACAAGGGUCCUCCUGUUACCCCUUUACAUGAAAGGUUGAUUAUGGUGAAUGCUGUCAAAUGGGUUGAUGAGGUUAUUCCUGAAGCUCCAUAUGCAAUAACUGAGGAAUUCAUGAAGAAGCUUUUUGAUGAGUACAAUAUAGAUUACAUUAUUCAUGGAGAUGAUCCUUGUGUUCUACCUGAUGGAACUGAUGCUUAUGCUCAUGCCAAAAAGGCUGGACGUUAUAAACAGAUUAAGCGGACCGAAGGAGUUUCCAGCACUGAUAUUGUUGGUCGGAUGCUUCUCUGUGUAAGAGAAAGGACUAUUACUGACAGUCAUAAUCAUUCCUCUUUACAAAGACAGUUCAGCAAUGGCCGCGGUCAGAAAUUCGAAGAUGGAGUUGUUGCUAGUGGAACUCGUGUAUCUCAUUUUCUGCCUACAUCUCGUAGAAUUGUUCAGUUCUCAAAUGGGAGGAGUCCAGGACCUGAUGCACGCAUUGUAUAUAUAGAUGGUGCUUUUGAUCUCUUUCAUGCUGGACAUGUAGAGAUCUUGAGGCUUGCUAGGGACCGUGGAGAUUUUCUUCUCGUUGGAAUACACACGGAUCAGACAGUCAGUGCAACUAGGGGAUUGCAUCGUCCCAUCAUGAAUCUUCAUGAAAGAAGUCUAAGUGUCUUAGCAUGUCGCUAUGUGGAUGAGGUUAUAAUUGGUGCACCAUGGGAAGUGUCCAGAGAUAUGUUUAAAUUCUUUGCAUGCAGAUCACGACAUUCAACAUCUCAUUAGUUGUUCAUGGAACAACUGCAGAAAACACUGAUUUUCAGAAGGAACAAUCAAAUCCAUAUGCUGUUCCCAUUAGCAUGGGCAUCUUCCAAAUUUUAGAUAGUUCUUUAGAUAUAACAACUACUACAAUAAUUAGGAGGAUUGUAUCAAAUCAUGAAGCAUACCAGAAACGCAAUGAGAAGAAGGGUGAGAGCGAGAAAAAUUACUAUGAGGGCAAGACUCACGUGACUGGAGACUGAUUCAUGUCUAUCAUUUGGGGACAUAAACAUUGGGGGUCACCACCAGGAUUUCACACACCAUAAUUAUCUAUCUAAUAUCUAUCUCUUUUAUUGUUUGUUUCCUCUUUUUUGUGUGUGGAGAAAAUGACAGUUUUGUUCAGCCAUUAACACGAGUUGGGCAUCGUGGUUCGCGCUUCUGAUUUAUUAUUAUUUAUCAAACUGAUUUAACAGUUAAUUAACUUACAUUUAGACCUUAUGAAUAUGUAAGUGUUUGUUACAUAAAGCUGUGGUUAGCUAAAUUAUUUUUAAUUAGUUUAAGGAAUGGUUAAUCAUACUAGUGAACUAAAAUUAUCAGCUCAUCAACUUAUGCUUCAAGUUGAACAAGAGUUACAAGGCUGUCACUAUCCAUAUUAUUA